UGCAAAGAAAUGUACUCGUUGAUACUUUGAUUGGUAUUCGCAUGAGAAAAAUUCUCAGUGUUGCCUAUUGGUAAAGGUAUGUAAACCCUGUUGCUUUGUUCACUGUUACAUUGGGGUAUGUUCCCAUGAGUAAAAGAUAUAAAACACUGAAGGCAGGACCAGCGGUUGUUGCUUACUCGCUUGAGCUAAUGGCUGAAUAAACUUUGAAACUACACCUCUCUGUGGACUCCACUCCUUCGUUAAUCAGGGACCCGAAGACAGCAGGACGGGGAGGAAGAAUAACAAAUAUGAUUCAACAUGAAGAAAUUGAACUCACCGGAGGAAUUACCUAUAUUAGAGGCUGGAGCUUUGAACUUUUGUUUCUUAUUGUCAGCAAAAGCUCAAAGCUCUUUCAUCUCAUUAUUAAUUAAUCUUCAUAUCAUCCACAGACAGUAAGAGGUAGAAAAGGAAAAAAUCUAUUUCUGUUCAUUAAAAUACUUUACAAUGAGAAGUUGGGACGUGUUACAGAAGCAGAAUGUUGCAUGCAUUUUUGGAUGAUGUCACUGGAUUGUUAGUUUUACUCUCUUUUUUUGCUUUGUUAUGAGAAGUUUCAAAAUAGUGGAGAUAAUCUGAAAAUGUUUGAAUUAUUAAAAUUGCACAAAUAAAACUGAAAAAAAGUAAUCUACCUAGAACUGAAUACUAAUUGACUGUUAC